rnacentral:rRNA from 1 species
GACGAACGCUGGCGGCGUGCUUAACACAUGCAAGUCGAACGGAAAGGCCCUGCUUUUGUGGGGUUCUCGAGUGGCGAACGGGUGAGUAACACGUGAGUAACCUGCCCUUGACUUUGGGAUAACUUCAGGAAACUGGGGCUAAUACCGGACAGCAUCUCCUGCUGCAUGGUGGGCGUUGGAUAGUUUCGGCGGUUGGGGAUGGACUCGCGGCUUAUCAGCUUGUUGGUUGGGUAGUGGCUGACCAAGGCUUUGACGGGUAGCCGGCCUGGGAGGGUGAACGGGGACAUUGGGACUGAGGGACGGACCAGAGGGCUAUGGGAGGCAACAGUGGGGAGUAUGGCACAGUGGGAGGAAGCGUGAUGAAGAGACGCCGCGGGCGGGAUGACGGCCUGCGGGUUGAAAACAGCUUUAGCCUGUGACGAAGCGGGAGUGACGGUAAUGGGUAAAGAAGCACCGGCUAACUACGUG